UUAUUUUGGGACGGAGGGAGUACUAUCAUCUCUGUUUAUACAAUUUAUAAUUGAAUUUCUGCAAUGAUCAUACUAGUGCUUCUGUCCAUAAAAUCAUAGACAUCGCCGUUAUGCCAAGGGAUGGAUUCAUCGAUUAGCCUUAAGUUGGGCUGGAAUGUGUGGGCCUCGUGUGGUCGUUUCCCUUCGGGCCCAACACGAGCCCGAAAGCUUCCAUCUUCUUCCAGAUUAGCGGCGGGGGGAGGCGACGGCGACCGGCGGCGACGGGUGGCCGGAAUUGCGGUUCCGUAUCCCUCUCCUGGCUUCCGCCCACCGCGCCCUUUGACUGUUCGACGCAAUGCCAGGGCUGGCCUGGUGGAGCGGCCGAGCGGAGGUGGUGGAGCCGCUUCUUCGCUGUUAGGCGGUGCGCUCAGGGUGUUCGGCGAAAUGCUCGAGAAUCUGGCCGGCGGCGAGUCCGGCCGUUGAAGAUCUCGUGGAGGCGAAGGGACCAUGCUUCGUGAGUGCGUGCUGCAAUGCCAAGCUCUCUCCAAGCGCUUCGGCUUCGCGAGAUAUGUUUGCGUGCUACUAAUACGGUCAUUUUUUUACACAAGGAUGCAUACCUUUUGGUAAGGAGGAAAGGACUCAUGUCUGUAAAAAGAAACAAAGCUUCUGAAGAUGCUUGAAGAGUUUAAGUAAGCUAGGGUGUAGUCUAGUGAUUGCAGUGACCUGAGUAAUACCCCAAGGUUCUGAGUUCAAAUCUUCAUAGGAGCGAAUUUCAGAGAUUAGGUUGUUUGCGGGGCUAAGUUCCCUAUUUCAAUGGCCGUAUAUAUCCAGUUGGAUGUAGAGGCCGGGUAAAAAAUACCCUUCUCUAAAAAAAAGAAGGUAGCGUGUGAGGGCUGCAAGUGGCAGCAGGCUGAUCACUUGGGAGUUGGGACACCACAGGGAAGCAUAGAAAAACUUUAUUCUGAUUGUACGAGGGAUAUCAAGUUCUUGACAUUUUGAUAUCAAGUUUCUUGAUACGACCUAUACAAUUCCAUAGCAAAAUUAUUUUAGGGCUUGUUUGGAUUGAAGCUAAUUUUUGCCCUACCAAUUUUAUUACGAUUGUACGAGGAAUAUCAAGUUCUUGACAUUUUGAUAUCAAGUUUCUCGAUACGACCUAUACAAUUCCAUAGCAAAAUUAUUUUAGGGCUUGUUUGGAUUGAAGCUAUUUUUUGCCCUACCAUUUUUUUGACAACUUUAAUAAUAUCGCAUAGAUAUUUGGUUUGCUACUUAAUUUUGGCAACUCUUAACUAGAUUGAUGCAUGAAUAUAUGCUUUGCGGAAUUGUUCCUUUGAAGUUGUUAAGCAUAAGAUGUAAAGUUUGUAAAAAUUGGGUAAGGUGGAGAAAAUGAUCUUGGAGAGCUCUCCACUGAAGUUGUUGCUCUUGAUAUCUAAUCUAUGGUUUCGAGAUUUGUGCAGCUGCUCGGAGUCGAUGGCACAUCUGAUCUCUCCAUACAUGUUGUUGUAGCCUAAAUGGAGUUCCUCUAAUUUCUUGAGUUUACCUAUAGAUUCUGGAAUCCCUGCCACUCAAAUUGUUCCCUCCAAGGUCAAGGUUAACUAGAUUACUUAGUUUGCAAGAUUGCUGAAGAUUUGCAAAGAUUCACUUGGAAAGAUGGUACUACGUUACAUGGAAAUCAUCAUUCCGAGAGGUGCACAUAAUUUGGAGAAAUCAUUGGCGGCGGCGUGGUCAUUGGUGUGUACAUGGUUUGGACAAGAACAAAUUGAGCACAACUGGUGGUGGCGACUGGUGAGUGGUGACCUGGUCUAUUUCUCUCAUCUUCUUGACCGUUUACUUUCUGUCGGAAAAGCGUGCGCUUUGGCUUUUUUGCUCCACACGUUUGCAGCGGUUUCCUCUUCUGGUUCCACCACUGUGACUCUGAAUUCUCGUGAGAAAUUUGAUAAUUUGACACUUUAUUCGUUGUGGAUUUGUUUUAAUUAAUACUUGAGAGAAUGGCACAUGGGACCAUUCGGAUAAAUGAAAGUGGGCUAUAAUGUUAAAUAAUCGAAGCCCACUUUUGUGGAGGGCGAAAUUAUCAAA